UACGAAGGGGGCUAGCGUUGCUCGGAAUCACUGGGCGUAAAGGGUGCGUAGGCGGGUCUUUAAGUCAGGGGUGAAAUCCUGGAGCUCAACUCCAGAACUGCCUUUGAUACUGAAGAUCUUGAGUUCGGGAGAGGUGAGUGGAACUGCGAGUGUAGAGGUGAAAUUCGUAGAUAUUGGGAAGAACACCAGUGGCGAAGGCGGCUAACUGGUCCAGCACUGACGCUGAGGUGCGAAAGCGUGGGGAGCAAACAGG
rnacentral:rRNA from 1 species